GGAUAACUCAGUUGGUUAAGAGUGUGGUGCUGAUAAUGCCAAGGUUGCAGGUUCGAUCCCCAAAAGGUACA